GAUCUUUGGAGGAUAUUAUAUUUUCUGCAGAUACCAUUACCACGCUGUCACGGUGGUCCUGCAUAGCAGUUUUUGCCCUCGAUACUCGCAGGAUACUCAGGAUCACUGGCUCGUAAUGCCUUCCCUUUCGAAAAUUAUUGAUCAGUCAACGGCUCAACACCUGACUGCUAGCAGUUCCGACCAGGACACAGGAAGAGGAAGUCAAGUACACAUAUUCCGGACACAUUGGUUCUUUCUAACCGGUGGUGGAUGUAACCGGCUCGGGAUCAAGUUCUCUCUCUCAAUUCGUAUCCAGUCGAAUCGUCCGCCGAACGGUAUACACGAAAAAAAAGAGAAGAACUGACAAUAUGGAAAAAGAGGGAAAAAAGUAAUCAUCGCACCAGUUAAAAUGAAAAGUAUCCGAGAAGAUGUUCAGAGAACGAUUUGCAACACCUGUGUUUGCUUACACCUGAAAGUACGAGAGCGAAAGAUAGAAUCAAGCAGGCAUAAUAAAUUGUGUAAACACCAUGACUAUGGAUCCACUGACAAGGACGAGAAAUAUAUUCAAUGAAUUGUUGUAUGUGCUCUGAAAAACGUAUAAUAUGAUUGAGUGAUUGGCUUGCACGAUGAGAUGACAGUGUCCGUAUUGUCCGUGGUUAAGGUCCCGCUACUCAUCUAAGUGAUUGCUGUUGGGAUAAUCUUGCACGUGAUAAAUGAAGACUUUAUUACAACAACACACAAGAACAGCGAGAGAUGAGGGCAAUGUUCUGAAGGGAAAGUUAAACGACAUUGCAAGUUAAAAGAGAGGAGUCAUAAAUGAAAACUGUCUCCGAGUUGUGUGUGCUGCAAGCAUUAAUUUCGAUGUCGAAGAGAGGUACACCAACCCCCAAGAUGGCUGCUGCCGGGCGUAUCGACGUUUAGCUUUUGCAGGGUUUCCCAGAGGUAAGCUCAUCGGAAGUUGAGGGUCUUCCCUCCCCUAAAAUUGCCCCUCCUUGUUCACUUCCACUCACUUCAAAACAAAGAAACACACGUAAUUAAAUUUCCCCCCUCUCUCUAUCUCUCUCUCUUUCAACUUUAUUUUUUUUUCUUUUUUUUUUCAAAUUAAUAGCCGGAACCAUUUUGAGAUUCACACUUUUCAUCUCUCCAUUUACACACAUCUGCAUCCCUUAACAGUAUAUUUUCUUUUCUUUUCUUUUCUUUCUUUGACCCUUGUCAAUUCGAAUUUUCAAGUUUACAAUGAACGAAAUUUGAUAGCAACCCCAAAUGCAAUAUAUUGUUUCAAACCUUUGAAAAAAUGACGAAUCUUGUAAUUGAAUUCUUCGAAAUUUAUUUUCUUAGGUGUCCUUCUGUCAUUUUUUGAUUGGGAAUAUUUUUUAGCUUUAUCACUAACUAUAAAUAAUAGAAAUUCGGAUUUUAAUAAUUUCAUUGUUGU